AUAUUUUGAAUUAAGUAUAUUCAUAAUAUGUUAUCAGACGAAUGUUGUUAAAGAUAUAGGUUGAUAUUUGUGAAGGGAAAGAGUUGCCUCUCUCCCAACAAACAUUGCACACAAGGUGGAUAUGGAUUUGUUUAAAAAGCGCCAUAAAACGCUCAUUGUGAAUGAUCCUUCCGCAGGUUCACCUACGGAAA
rnacentral:misc_RNA from 1 species